rnacentral:rRNA from 1 species
GACAUCCUCUGACAACUNUAGAGAUAGAGCGUUCCCCUUUCGGGGGACAGAGUNACAGGUGGUGCAUGGUUGUCGUCAGCUCGUGUCGUGAGAUGUUGGGUUAAGUCCCGCAACGAGCGCAACCCUUGAUNUUAGUUGCCAGCAUUUAGUUGGGCACUNUAAGGUGACUGCCGGUGACAAACCCGGAGGAAGGUGGGGAUGACGUCAAAUCAUCAUGCCCCUUAUGACCUGGGCUACACACGUGCUACAAUGGAUGGUACAAAGGGCUGCAAGACCGCGAGGUCAAGCCAAUCCCAUAAAACCAUUCUCAGUUCGGAUUGUAGGCUGCAACUCGCCUAGCAUGAAGCU